rnacentral:rRNA from 1 species
UACAGAGGUCUCAAGCGUUGUUCGGAUUCAUUGGGCGUAAAGGGUGCGUAGGCGGCGCGGUAAGUCGGGUGUGAAAUCUCGGAGCUUAACUCCGAAACUGCAUUCGAUACUGCCGUGCUUGAGGACUGGAGAGGAGACUGGAAUUUACGGUGUAGCAGUGAAAUGCGCAGAUAUCAGGAGGAACACCGGUGGCGAAGGCGGGACUCUGGGCCGAUACUGACGCUGAGGAGCGAAAGCGUGGGGAGCGAACAGG